CAAUAGUGUUGAUGGUCUUCAUUC
rnacentral:siRNA from 1 species